CGCCGCAUGAUCCGACCUCCUGGCAACCCGCUUUUUCGCUGCCAGUGAGGACCGAACCAAGUGCCGACACUCGUCACCCCGGGUAGCGGAUAUCAUAACCACUACACCUUAGGCCAUCCCACGAAAGAGCUCGGUUGGAAUCAUGGGUUUGAAUUCCACUCCGAAUUCUUCUCCUCGGAAAAAAUUCCAGCCCAGCGAAGAUUCGAACCUCGCUCCUGCGACUCAGGAAGCCAUCGCUCUACCGGCACGGCUACGACGCCACGAUGUUGGGGAUAGCGGACAGGGAACCAUGGUGCGAGGCGCCGCAGUCAGUCGUAAGGCAAGAAGGAAAACCGGUUACAUGGGUUCGCCUGUCCACCGUUGCGUAUCACACCAGCAGCGUGGCGAUGUUGGUAUCGUCGCUGCGCCACGGCUUGAGAUAGUGGUCAGAGGUUCUAAUACCACUCCCGUUUUUUUUUUCUCGUCGGCUGGCGAACCCAUGUUACCGGUUUUCGUUCUGCAGCGCGUGUCCGCAUGUCUCUAGCAUCGAGGCGGGAUUGCCUACCCCAGGCGUCCUCGGCCACAACUCCCUGAGGUUCCCCAUAGAGCUGCGGCCACAUGUUGCAUGGGUCGGGAGCCCUAAAGAAUCACAUCCCGCGACCACGAUAUGUCGGAACUCGGCCCAGAAAUGUUCUUGACAUGAGCAAGAGAAGUCUAUGGAGUCAUUUUACCCAAAAGAAUAGG